AAGUCGUAACAAGGUUUCCGUAGGUGAACCUGCGGAAGGAUCAUUACUGAGCUGUCGACACGAGCUGUUGCUGGCCUUCAAACAUGGGGGCAUGUGCACGCUCUGUCCACACAUCCACUCACACCUGUGCACCCUCUGUAGCUCUAUGGUAUGGGAGACACCUGUCUCCCUCCUGUAGUUCUACGUCUUUACACA
rnacentral:misc_RNA from 1 species